CCUACGGGUGGCAGCAGUGAGGAAUAUUGGUCAAUGGACGAGAGUCUGAACCAGCCAAGUAGCGUGAAGGAUGACUGCCCUAUGGGUUGUAAACUUCUUUUAUAUGGGAAUAAAAUGUUCCACGUGUGGGAUUUUGUAUGGACCAUAUGAAUAAGGAUCGGCUAACUCCGUGCCAGCAGCCGCGGUAAUACGGAGGAUCCGAGCGUUAUCCGGAUUUAUUGGGUUUAAAGGGAGCGUAGGUGGAUUGUUAAGUCAGUUGUGAAAGUUUGCGGCUCAACCGUAAAAUUGCAGUUGAAACUGGCAGUCUUGAGUACAGGAGAGGUGGGCGGAAUUCGUGGUGUAGCGGUGAAAUGCUUAGAUAUCACGAAGAACUCCGAUUGCGAAGGCAGUUCACUGGACUGCAACUGACACUGAGGCUCGAAAGUGUGGGUAUCAAACAGGAUUAGAUACCCUUGUAGUC
rnacentral:rRNA from 1 species